rnacentral:lncRNA from 1 species
GCCUUACAGCCUGUGGUGGUUGCCGAAGAACUUUAAUUACAGUGUCAGAGUGUUCAGGGACAGUCCCAACUCCCUUCAUGUGAGGAUUGCAGAAAUGGGCUUGGAUCGUAUACAGACAGCGUUAUGAGGCAUUGCUGAAGAACAGUAAGUUCUUACACAGAAGUUGUCAACUAAUAUAUGCAUUUUCUUUGCCAUACCCCAAGAGGCAGGAGCUGAUUCCUAUAUAGUUAGGAUAUAGCUGACCAAUGUUCUCUUUAAAUGUAAUUUCCAUCUGCCACAUUUUAAAUUACAGGUUUUUGCAUCAGGAAACUGUUGGGUCCAAUUAUUUGGUGCCUUGGAAAGGGCAUUAAAUGCAUAGUGAGAAGAUCCUGGUUUAAUCUGACAUUCCACUUACUAGGUGUAGAAGCUUGAGCAAGUUAAUUAAUCUUUGAGUCUGUAUACCCAGCUGCAAAAUGAGGAUAAUGCUUAUCUUACAGAGUGUUGUGAAAGCAAUGAAGAUUGUGUGAAAGGGUUUCAUAAACUGACAAGCACUGCACAAAUGUAAGGUCCCCUAAGGAAAACCUUUUCAAAACUCAAAAUCUAUAUGAACAGAGAUACUUAUUCAUGUUGGGUGGAAUGUUUUACAGCCAUUAAAAAUUGUAAGAGAAAAUAUAUUGAAAAAUACAAUCUAAAAUGGUGAGUUUGCAAUUACAACAGUGUAAAACCUGUGUACAUAGACUAGAAUAUGGAAAAAAUGGAUUACAGGGUAGUGGAAUUGAGUGACUUUUGCUUUAAAGACUCUUAGGUAUAUUAGGUGUAUUCAGUUUAGUUCAAUAAACUUUUAUUGAGCUCUCACUCUCCCAAUCCCCGUGCUAGAUUCUAUGAGUGCUGAGACAAAUAGGACAUACUCCCUGCUCUCAGAGACUCCCAUUCUGUACAGUCUUGUCAAAGUUUACUGUGUAUGUGAAUCACUGCGGAGCGUAUUAAAAAUUCACAUUAUCUUACUCCCACCAGAAGAUCUGAUUCAGUAGGUCUGUGAUGGAACUAGCUCACAAUUUACAUUGUUUUAAACAGUCACCCUGAGUAAUUCUAGUGUAAGUAUUUUAAUUCUGUACUGAGAAACCUGCAGUGAGAUUUUAAUAUUUUUACACUAAACGGUAAGUAAUAAUUAUACAAAUCUGCUCAUUGAAGAAGUUACCUGUUUUCUCUGCAUGCUUGAGCUGGUUUUUAUGUGUCUCUAUCAAGGAUGGGAAGGCCAGCCUGCAGUGAUACCCCUUGGAACCCUUGCAGUGUAGAAACUACCACACCUCUCAACUUUUAUCUCUUUUCCUCACUCCAUUUCUCCCCACCACUUCUCCUAAUGUUUUCUUCUUUCUAUGCAAGUGUUAAUCUCCCACUCUGGUUCCUUCUAUGCCUAGUACUGUAUCAACAUCCAGGUGCUUCCCCUUCCUUUCUCCACCCCACCCCCCAGCCAGAUAUGUCAAUUGUAUUGAAAACAACUUACAUCUAGUUUACUAAGUACAAACUUGUGCUGGUUAAUGCUUCUCAAAAAGUAGGAGUGGGCUGUUUGUUGAGAUCAACAAUCAUUUUUUUAAAAAUCCGAUAUGGAAAUUUUUGUGUCAAGUUUCACUGUCAUUUAGUUCUUGACUGAUUUUCUUCUGAUGGGUUAGUAGCUCUCAACAGAAGAUUUUAAAAGUCCCCUGCUCAGGUACCUGUCCUGCCGAUAGAGCUGGGGUGUACCCUGCACCCUGACUCAACAUUGCUUGUCUCCACAUGCCUGUAAAUGGGCUUGGGUGGCUUUCUCAGGCUACACACCUGUCACUUCUUAGUCACCCAGAAUCAAAAUAUUAACAGCUCUGAUCACAUUUUCUGAACCUAUGAGGCUUUAUUUCAAGAGUGGUGACACUCCAAAAUGCAGCUAGGAUUUCCGCAUUUUCACGUGUUAGUGUUGAAAUCAUUUUUACUUCAGGAAACCAAGGGUUGGACAAUGGCUUCCAGACUUUCUCCUUUCGUUAUGCUCCUUCAGCGCCUUAUGCAAAUACCGGUUGUCUUAUGCUGCCAUUCGUCUCCUCUGCCAGAAUGUGAGGUCCGCGACAGCAGGGAUAAGAAUGCAUUCAUUUUUAUAUCUGCAGUGCCUUGGAGAGUGUCUGACACAUAGUGGGCACUCAUUUAGAAACCACCAAUUGAAUCAUUAAGGUGACCAAAAACAGGGUGGGGGAAAUACGUCCAUCAGACAACAGGGAAAUAUUUCUUAAAAAAAAAAUUUCCCAAAACUAGCUUUUCCCUCCUUAUGUGUCUGAAAUAUCUCAUAAAAUUUUAAACUAUCCCUUUCAGCACAAAUCUGCCUGGAGCUGUUUCCUGAACACAGGACCAAAAGGCAGGAAUCAAAAGUAGUAAUGAGUUUAGUUAUCUGUCUGUUACUGAAGGUGACUUCUAGGGCAUCCUCCUGGCAUUGCUUCUGGAAUACAGUGACUUAGACUUAUUCGGAAGAACAUCUCUAUGCUGUUCAUCACAUCGCCAGCACCUAGCCCUGUGCCUGUGCAUAGUAAAUGCUCAGUAAGUAUUGUUGAAUGAUUGUAUUAAAUUGAGAAGAAAUUCAGAAGCUAGUCCCAAAUGAAUUUAAUUGCUCAGAUUUUCAGUUAGUGGUUUUCCCCAACUUGCUCCCUUAAUCUAGACAAUUUUACUGCCUCCAAAUUGAAGGUAGCUACUAUUUAUGUCAUCGAAUUUAACAAAUGUUAACUUAUGUCUAUUCUGUGCCUAUCUGUGGGCUACCCAAAAUUAAACCUAACCUCAUGUAGUUUCAGUCCCCAUACAGUUGGUUCAUAAUUCUCAGUGCUCCCACAGUCCUUUGAACAUACCUCUUAUAACAUUGCCCAAAUACUACUGGAGAUACCUGCCUAUUUCUCUCCCCAGAAAGACCCUGAAAUUCUGAAGAACCUAGUCUUAUCUUGGUAUUCCUAUGCUGAACUUGAAGUAGUAGGUUCUCAGAAAAUCCCUGCUGAGACUUGACUAACUUGUACAUAAAUAACCAUUCCCUAGUAACAUGUGUUUGAAUAGAAAUAUAUUUUGUAUUUGAAUAGAAAGAAACAUAUGGUUUUCUAAGUAUAUUCCUAAUUUAAAGGGAUACUAGGGGAAAGAAACAAGAUUGGUUUUUGUGUCUCUAUUAAACACCUUCCAAGGUGUCUUACUUAGUUAUCAAACCUGUCCUUUUUCUGACAAUUCCCCUACCCCUGUCCUGGCCAGUGGGUCCCUAGCAGACAUCCUGGGGGCCAGAGCUUCCUUUGCUGAUUGGUGUAGGGAUGGACACCUGAUCCCAAAUAGACCAGUUUCACCUUCUCUUGGGAAAUUGGGGUUGAGGACACUGGAGAGUCUGGACUGGUUGCUUGAGCCAGGAACACAUAAACUUAGGAGCCAGUGGGUAUAACCAUGUACCCAGAGAGACAGAGAAAGCAGUCUUCAGAGAAAGAAACGAAGGCAAAAUGUUCGGAGGUGAGGGAGACAUGCAAAAUGGAUGCCUGGUUUUUGCCAUGUUUAUUCCCUGGUUGCUACUCUUUCUGAGGCCAGAUUAUUCAACUUUUCCAUGGGUUCCACGGGAGAUAACUCACUUACCAUCUCCAUUGGAUCGUGAGUGAGUUUGAAAUGAGUAUCUGCUUUCACAACUAAAAGAAGUCAAAUUAAUAUACUGUGUGACUUACAGAAGGAAUUCUCAUUACUUUUUAAGUCUCAUUACCUUAUAAUCACAUCUACAUAUCCCAGAAUAUAUGUCAAUCAGGAAUUACUUAGAUGGGAAAUUCCUGAUAAAAUAAGAUGCAGUAGGAGGGUAAGUGGCUUCUUUGCUUUUCAAAUUUUUUAAUAAUCUAAGUCACAAAAACAGAAAGCAAAUAAAUGGAGGCUUAUUUACAGAGGGGAUUGGACACGUCAGACCUUUUUUGGAACCACACAAUUGGAUUUAAAAGAUUUUGAAGAACCAACACAUUUGGCAGCUUCCCAAACCAUCUAUUUUUGAAGAUUCUGCUUUCCAGAACUGUAUUAAGAAUGGCCCUUGUCAUGGGCGUUAGCUGUGUUUCAGGCUAGCCAAAACUAAAAACUGGAAGAGACUAAAUAAGUAUGUGUGCAUGUAGAGCAGCCCAGACCCUGCAAGUGGACUGACCAUAAACAAUGAUGGCCAAAUCUAUGAAAAUAAGAUAAAGACCUUGCUCUUCAGAAACAGUGCCAGAUGUGUUCAGAGCUUUGUAUACCACACUCUUUCAGCCCUGGUAUGCCACACCGUGAAUUUAGUGUUCACUUACAAUAAUCAUUUUGAAAACAUGCAUGGAAAAUACAGAGGAACUGUGAACUGCUAAAAUCAUUUGUCUGGUUCAGGAAAGUUUCAGAGGAAAAUCUCGGGGCUUUUUCCUAGAAUGUUAUGAAAAUAUUAAAUUAUACUGAUUGCUGCCAACAUAUUUUCUAACCAUUCUAGGAAAAGAAAAAACAACAAAGUUUCCAGCUCUUACUCUAGAUUGACACUGGACCUUGGAGAUGCUUGCAGCCACUAAAUGUAAUGCCACAUGAUUGUUGACCCAACAAUAAUCCAGUUAAAAAACAGUCUUCAGAGUUACUACAUCAUCAGAAUUAACCCUGAUUACAUCAAAUUAUGUUGAAACAGACCACAGCUGUUUGCCCUGUUGAAGCAACUGCUUGAGAGCUCCUCCGGAAGAUACAUCUGGGUGUCACUAAGAUACAUUUUGGGUUUAGUUUUGUUUCUCAACACAAAUGUAGGAGGGAAACAAACCCUGUUCUGCUGGGGUGCCUGGUGGGAGCUGAAAACCUUGUGAUUCUCCAGCAGUCAAAAGUCAUCUCAAUUACCAAAGAGAAGGGAACCUGAGAUCUUUUGUUUCAGUUUUCUAUAGGAAGGAUGUAAGAGGAAGGAAAUUCAAAUCUGUUGAGUAUUGCUCUUGCCAGCAAAAAGAAGUGGAACUGACUAGUGAGAUGGUGGUGAGAUUUUCUUUGGUGGCUGUGUGCAGUGGUAUCAACCCAGGAGAGUAGACUGUUCAAUUGUGAAGAAUUUUGCAAGAUGGUUGUUAAAGUAGAACAUCGUUAAAAUUAAGUUGUAAUAAAAAAAGGGAAAUAAGCAUUGGAAAAGAUGUGGACAGAUUGGAACCCUCAUACAUUGCUGAUGGGAAUGUAAAAUGGUGUAGCCACUGUGGAAAAAAGGUCAGCAGUUCCUUAAAAAGUUAAACAGUGUCACCAUAUGACUCAGCAUUUUCACUCCUAGAUAAAUACGUAGAUUGAAAACGUAUGUCCACACAAAAACUUGUACAGGAAUGAUCGCAACAGCAUUAUUCAUAAUAGCCAAAAAGUGGAAACAACUGUAAUGUUCAUCAGCUGAUGAAUGGAUAAAAUGCGGUAUAUAAAGAACUGUCAAGUGCUUCAACAUGGAUGAAACUUGAAAACAUUAUACAAAGCGAAAGAGGUUAGACACACAGGUCACAUAUUGUAUGAAUAUGGUUAUGUGAAAUGUCUAGAAUUGGCAAAUCCAUAGAGAUGAAAAGUAGGUUAGCGGUUGCCAGCUGAUGGGAUUGGGGGAAUGGAGAGUUGCUAAUGGAUAUGGUGUUUCUUUUGGGGUAAUGAAAAUGUUCUGGAAUUAGAUAGCUGUGGUGGUUGUCAAAGUUGAUGAAUAUAUUAGAAACCAUGAAUUAUAAACUUUAACAUGGUGACUUUUGUGAUACGUGAAUAUCUUAAUUAAAAAUUAAGUUAUAUAAACUUAUAAUUAAAUAAGUUAUAUUAAAAAGAAAGGUAGUAACUACCCCAAACUCAUCACUUGGCUAAUUACAUUUUACUAUUGUGUUCUUGGUGUUAUUUAUGUCUAUUGUGUCUUUAUGUUGGAAAUACUAAAUAAUGGUGUAUUACUGUGUAUCUCUUAACUCUGUAUUCAAGGACAUUAACUUGAUAGCUUAAAACUGGCCAUGGCUGGCAGAGUAUUUAUGCCACAACAGUUGGCAUAUACUGUAAAUCAAGGCACCCACCAACACCACCAGGGAGCCAAUUUUAAAAUAUUUGCCAGCACAUCAUUGGCUAUAUUGUCGGACAAUCAUCUUGGGUAAUUCUGGUAGAAUUAUAUAGUUAGAUGAGGUGAAAUCCUGAGGCCUCUAGGUUCCCAGCAAAACAAAGACUAGCAAGCCUGCACAGUUACUAUGCAAUUUAUCAGGUGCAGAAGGAAAUGACGUUUCUGGUCAUCUGUUGAAUAAAGCCACUUUGAGUUCAGGGGACAUGGUUUUCUCCAGCUUCACUAGUGUUGCAUCUGGUACAAGGGGUUAAGUGCUAAACCCCUGUAGGAUUGUCACAGUGAAGCCAGAUAACAGAGUAACCGCAAAGAGAUUUAAUUCUGUAGUCCCACAAAGGAGGGUGUGUAAAGAGUGUACAACAGUGUCAGAGUUUGGAAACCAAGGGUUGACAAAGUUGGUUCUCUGGAAUCUGGGGGUACCAGUUAAAAGGUUAAAAGGAGUCAUUGUUUUCUGAAACUAUCCAAGAGUUACAGCCAUGUUUUUUUGUUUUUGUUUUUGUUUUUAAGAUUUCGGGGGAAUCUUAUUUUCUCACAUGUUUCUGGAAUUUUUCUUUUUUUUUUAAUUUAAGUUCCAGGGUACAUGUGCAGGAUGUGCAGGUUUGUUACAUAGGUAAAUGUGUGCUAUGGUGGUGUGCUGCACCUAUCAACCCAUGACCAAGGUAUUAAGCUCAGCAAGCAUUAGCUAUUUUUCCUAAUGCUCUCCCUCCCCCAACCCCCUACCCACUCACAGGUCCCAGUGUGUGUUUCCCUCCCUGUGUCCUGUGUUCUCGUUGUUCAGCUCCCACUUAUAAGUGAGAACAUGCGGUGUUUGGUUUUCUGUUCCUGUGUUAGUUUGAUGAGGAUAACGCCUUCCAGCUCCAUCCAUGUCCCUGCAAAGGACAUGAUCUCGUUCCUUUCUAUGUCGAGUUACAACCAUUUUUAAAAGUGGAACUGCACAGGAUUACCUCAGCCUGCUAAGUCCUUCCAGCUAGGCCGUCCCUGUGGGUUUAAACGCAAUGUAAAGAAAGUGGAUGUUAAGUGUUCUUACCACAAAAAUGAUAACUAUAUUAGUUAAUGCAUUUGUUAGUUAGCUAGAUUUAACCAUCCCACAGUGUAUUUUAUGUAUUUGUAUUUAUAUUUCAAAACAUCAUAUUGUACAUAAUAAACACAUCGAUGUUAUCUGA